rnacentral:sRNA from 1 species
AACAGGAGUAAAAAGUGCCUGGGUGUUUGAAUGCAAGUUACCUGCAGUACUGGUUUUGCCAUGUACGCUCUUGGAAUUCAAACAGUUUAACGGGAAUCCACCCGGUUUUUUAGUUAAGGAAGUGAAGCAUGGCAAACGGUACAGUUAAAUGGUUCAAUGAUGCAAAAGGUUAUGGUUUUAUUACACCGGAUGAUGGUAGCGAAGAUUUGUUUGCUCAUUUUUCCGCAAUUACCAUGAGUGGCUUUAAAUCUCUUAAAGAGGGUCAAAAAGUUACUUUUGAUAUCGUUCAAGGUCCUAAAGGCAAACAAGCCGCCAAUAUUCAGGCUCCUUAAGAUAGGUUUUUGGUAUAAAAAAGCCCGCUUCAGCGGGCUUUUUUAU